rnacentral:rRNA from 1 species
CACGUAGGGCGCAGCGUUUGUCCGGAUUUAUUGGGCGUAAAGAGCUCGUAGGCGGCUUGUCGCGUCGACUGUGAAAACCUCGGGCUCAACUCGAGCGCUUGCAGCUGAUACGGGCAGGCUAGAGUUCGGUAGGGGGAGACUGGAAUUCCUGGUGUAGCGGUGAAAUGCGCAGAUAUCAGGAGGAACACCGGUGGCGAAGGCGGGCUCUGGGCUAGUAACUGACGCUGAGAGCGA